rnacentral:rRNA from 1 species
CCUACGGGAGGCUGCAGUGGGGAAUAUUGGACAAUGGGGGCAACCCUGAUCCAGCCAUGCCGCGUGUGUGAAGAAGGCCCUCGGGUUGUAAAGCACUUUCAGUGAGGAAGAACGCCUGGUGGUUAAUACCCAUCAGGAAAGACAUCACUCACAGAAGAAGCACCGGCUAACUCCGUGCCAGCAGCCGCGGUAAUACGGAGGGUGCGAGCGUUAAUCGGAAUUACUGGGCGUAAAGCGCGCGUAGGUGGCUUGAUAAGCCGGUUGUGAAAGCCCCGGGCUCAACCUGGGAACGGCAUCCGGAACUGUCAAGCUAGAGUGCAGGAGAGGAAGGUAGAAUUCCCGGUGUAGCGGUGAAAUGCGUAGAGAUCGGGAGGAAUACCAGUGGCGAAGGCGGCCUUCUGGACUGACACUGACACUGAGGUGCGAAAGCGUGGGUAGCAAAUAGGAUUAGAUACCCCAGUAGUC